rnacentral:rRNA from 1 species
AUGAUUGUUGGUCUUAGGAAUGAGAGAUGGACCAUGACUUUCUUUGUUGUAGAGCAUACACAUCCACUGAUGGAACAACCGGAGCGUGUUAGGUACUACCGCUCACACUGCAAGAUACCUACCGAGGAUUACCAACUCUUGCUGAUGUUGCAUGAUGUCAACCUGUCCACUUCAGAUUGCAUGGGUGUGCUUGGUAGGGUCCAUGGAGGUGACACCAGGAUACUCCCGUAUGUGAAGAGAGAUGUUUCGAAUGAACGUGCAAAGAUCUGGCAAGCGAUAACAUUCCGAGACAUGGAUAUGACAGUCAAGUACUUUGAGGGGAGGAAGGCCGAGAAUCCAGAGUAUUUCUUUGCGAAGCAAAAAUAUCCUGCCACAAACUCCGUGACUGCAUUAUUGUGGGUUGAUGGGAGAACAAGGCUAUUGUACCCGAAUUAUAAAGACUGUGUAUUCUUCGAUACAACCUUCUGCACCAAUAGAUACAACAUGCCUUUUUCACCUAUAGUUGGGGUCAACAACCACCUUCAAACCAUUGCUCUCGGAUGUGCCUUGUUGCAGGAUGAGACAACUGAAACAUUUAGGUGGGUGUUUGAGCAGUGGAUGGUUGCAAUGGAUAUCGAGCAUCCAACCAACAUAAUGAUCGACCAGGACCAAUCAAUGGCAACAACUAUUGAGCAGGUGUUCCCAAACAUUUGCCAUAGGUGUUGCAAGUUCCAUGUGUUUAGCAACGCACGUUCUAAAUUGGGGAGGUUUGUGCAACAAUCUGAAAUGUGCCAGGAAAUGGUGCUUGAUCAUGAGGAUAAUGUCGGCUUCACUGGUGAAACGAGUGCUCCGCCACUAUACUCUCGGACAAUGAGUACCAAGGGCAAGGCCUCCUGUUCAAGCUCACAUCAAGCUUCUAUGAGAACCCAAAGCUCUGUUAUGUGCAAGUUGAGAUGA